GAUGAAGAACGCAGCGAAAUGCGAUAAGUAGUGUGAAUUGCAGAAUUCAGUGAAUCAUCGAAUCUUUGAACGCACAUUGCGCCCCAUGGUAUUCCGUGGGGCAUGCCUGUUUGAGCGUCAUUUACCCCCUCAAGCUCCGCUUGGUGUUGGGCGUCUGUCCCGCUUCGCGCGCGGACUCGCCCCAAAGGUAUUGGCAGCGGUCGUGCCAGCUUCUCGCGCAGCACAUUGCGCUUCUCGAGGCACCGGUGGGCCCGCGUCCAUCAAGCUCACCCCCCCAGUUUGACCUCGGAUCAGGUAGGGAUACCCGCUGAACUUAAGCAUAUCAAUAAGCGGAGGA
rnacentral:misc_RNA from 1 species